rnacentral:rRNA from 1 species
AGCCUGAACGCUGGCGGCGUGGCUAAGACAUGCAAGUCGAACGGUGUAGCAAUACACAGUGGCGAACGGGUGAGUAAUGUAUCGCUAACGUACCCUUAUGUCAGGGAUAGCCGGGGGAAACUCCGGGUAAUACCUGAUGAAAUUCCUUUUUCGCAUGGAAAAGGACUCAAAGGAGCAAUCCGCAAAAGGAGCGGGCGAUAUCGUAUCAGCUAGUUGGUGAGGUAACGGCUCACCAAGGCGACGACGCGUAGCCGGGCUGAGAGGUCGGCCGGCCACAUUGGGACUGAGACACUGCCCAGACUCCUACGGGGGGCUGCAGUAACGAAUCUUCCGCAAUGCACGCAAGUGUGACGGAGCGACGCCGCGUGUGGGACGAAGUCCUUCGGGAUGUAAACCACUGUCAGGGGUAAGAAAGUUCUGAUCCUACCCCAGAGGAAGGCACGGCUAACUCUGCGCCAGCAGCCGC